GGCGCUCGCUUCCACAACUGACGCACCGCGCGCACAGUAUUGACAAGAAAAGAGUUGUGAAACUUUUUAUCUCGUAUGGAGUUAUAACGUGAAAUAAUGACACAGACUGGCUCAUCAUCUCAUCUGCAGCAGAGACUGUUGUAUCAGAAGGACAGCGCGUUUGUUUGAGGCACUUUUCACUUCAACUGUGUCUGACAGGAGAAUUUAGCUUUCUGAGCCGUUGAGUUACCAUGGCAACCGCGUACACAUCAGCUGCUGGAGAGGAGAGGAGAGGUCUCGUCUGACAUUUUCUCUGUUUCUCGUCAGUUAUACCAAAGAAAAGGUCAACAACUGCGACAGAUUUUGAUUUCAGGAGUGUCUUAAAAACCCUCUAAAACAGAGGGGAAGUUCCAAGAAAGUGUCUAAUGGGAGCUGCUGACAGAGA